UACGAAGGGGGCUAGCGUUGUUCGGAUUUACUGGGCGUAAAGCGCGUGUAGGCGGUCUGGUAAGUCAGAUGUGAAAUCCCUUAGCUUAACUGAGGAACUGCAUCUGAUACUGUCAGACUUGAGUAUCGGAGGGGAUGGCGGAAUUCCUGGUGUAGAGGUGAAAUGCGUAGAUAUCAGGAGGAACACCUGUGGCGAAGGCGGCCAUCUGGAAGAUUACUGACGCUGAGACGCGAAAGCGUGGGGAUCAAACAGG
rnacentral:rRNA from 1 species